AUUGAACGCUGGCGGCAUGCUUUACACUUGCAAGUCGAGCGGCAGCGCGGGGGCAACCCUGGCGGCAAGCGGCGGACGGGUGAGUAAUGCAUCGAAACGUAUCCCGUAGUGGGGGACAACCCAGCGAAAGCUGGGCUAAUACCGCAUAUGCUCUACGGAGGAAAGCAGGGGACCUGUGAGGGCCUUGUGCUAUGGGAGCGGCCGAUGUCCGAUUAGCUAGUUGGUGGGGUAAAGGCUUACCAAGGCGACAAUCGGUAGCUGGUCUGAGAGGAUGAUCAGCCACACUGGGACUGAGACACGGCCCAAACUCCUACGGGAGGCAGCAGUGGGGAAUUUUGGACAAUGGGGGCAACCCUGAUCCAGCCAUGCCGCGUGCGGAAAGAAGGCCUUCGGGUUGUAAACCGCUUUUGGUCGGGAAGAAAAGGUUACCUCUAACAGGGGUGACUAUUGACGGUACCGGCAAAAUAAGCACCGGCUAACUACGUG
rnacentral:rRNA from 1 species